UUAUUCCUCCAUCUGCCUCCAUUGCAAUUUCUACUUUUUCCUCUUUCUUUUAUUUUUAUUUUCGCAGAUCUAGGCUAAUCUUCUACUCUGUUGCUGUUCUGGAGGUCCUAGAUCGAUAGAUCUGGUGUAGAUCUGCACAUUGAUUGUGGUUUCUUAGCGAUUCGGUCUUCGGUUUCCGAGUUUUAUUGUUUAUUUUGAUUCUGUCGAGUUCAACUUCAGAUCUGAGUUCUUAUCUUCCAUGUUCAUGUUCUGAAUGCGAUUCUUGGAUUGUUGUGUUGUCGUAGAUCGACAGAUCUGGGGUAGAUCUACAAUUCAUUGCGGUCUCUUGGCGAUUCGGUCUUCGGUGACGGGUUUUGGUUGUUUAUUUAGAUUCUAGCAGGUUCGACAUCCGAUCUAAUUUAUCCUCAUAUCGGUUUAUGUUCUGACGGGGUUCUUGGACUUCCGUAUCGUUGUUUCUUUUGUUGUCGUGUGCUAUUAGCAUGUUUACAACGAUGGAAGGAUUGCCGUUCACGCACGCGCCAAUAGAGGGUUUGGUUCUUGAUUCCGUUAAUUUUCUUUAUUAUUACUAUGCAACGAAAGGUGUUUCGCUGUCAUCGAACAGGUUUAGAGUCGCAUAAGGUACUGGAUGUUGGUUGAGGCAAUAUACUAGGCGUCUUUGUUGGAUUUGUGUCGGCCAGAUCGGUUAAUCUGGGUAGAUCUACAACUUCAUUUCGAUCUCUUGACGAUUCGGUCCUCGGUGACGGAUUUUAGUUGUUUAUUAAAUUCGACCAGGUUCGACAUCCGUUCUAAUUUAACCUCAUAUCGGUUUAUGUACUGACGGGGAAUCGUGGACUUCUAUAUUGUUGUUUCUUUUGCUGUUCUGUGCUAUUUGCAUGUCUACAACGAUGGAGAAGUUACCGUUCCCGUACGCGGCAAUUCAGGGUUUGGUUCUUGAUUCCGUUAAUUUUCUUUUUUAUUACUAUGCAACGAAAGGCGUUUUGCUGUCAUCGAGCAGGUUUAAGUCACAUAAGGUACUGGAUGUUGGUUGAGGCAAUAUACUAGGCGUCUCUGUUGGGUUUGUGUCGGCUAGAUCGGUUAAUCUUGGUAGAUCUACAACUUCAUUUCGAUAUCUUGACAAAUCCGUCGUCGGUGACGGAUUUUAGUUUAUUAAAUUCGAGCAGGUUCGACAUCUGUUCUAAUUUAUCCUAUCGGUUUAUGUACUGACGGGGAAUCGUGGACUUCUAUAUUGUUGUUUCUUUUGUUGUUCUGUGCUAUUUGCAUGUCUACAACGAUGGAGAGGUUGCCGUGAUGGAGAGGUUACCGUUCCCCUACGCGCCAAUACAGGGUUUGGUCCUUAAUUCCGUUAAUUUUCUUUAUUAUCACUAUGCAACGAAAGGUGUUUCGCUCUAAUCGAACAGGUAUGGAAUUGAAGACUGUACUAGAUGUUGGUUGAGGCAAUAUCAGUUGGUUUCUCUGUUGGAUUUGUGUUUGCGAGGUCGUUAUGUAGUAAAAUUCGAGCAGGUUCGACAUCCGUUCUGAUCUAUCCUCAUAUCGGUUUAUUCUCUGACGGGGAUUCGUGGUCUUCUAUAUUGUUGUUUCUUUUGUUCUUGUGUGCUAUUUUCAUAUCUUCAACGAUGGGAGGGAGAGGUCAUCGGUCAUGUACGCGCCAAUACAGGGUUUGGUUCUUGAUUCCGUUAAUUUUCUUUAUUUAUUUCUAUGCAACGGAAGUGUUUCGAUUUAAUCGAACAGGUACGGAGUCGUUGACGGUACUGGAUGCUGGCAUGAGGCAGUAUCACUUGGCGUAUCUCUUGGGUUCGUUUCUGCUCUGCUGGUUAAUACAGAUCGAGAUGAGUUCGGCAUCCAUUUCGUCAGUGUGAUGUAGCUGAGCUGUCGAUGAGUAUUCGAUGGAAGCUGUAUCUUGUAUGAAAAUAAUGAAAGCAUCCGAGAAGUAGAUGAGUGUUUGUGGAUGUAAAAGAUAUCGGGAUUAGACCUCUUUUUUCGAGGAGGUCGAAUCCAGGUAGCUCUUUGUCAUCCGGCCUUUGCCAUGACAGGUGCGCUUGCAUGGCAGGUCAUACAUAAUAAAAAAAUAGUAUAUUUUGGUUCCGAGGGGAGAUCGCACGGGGAUUGCCCGGGGUCUCUUCCCUCUCUGGUCUGUUUUCCUCUUGCUCUCUUUCUCUGCGUUCGUUUCUGCUACUUCAACCGACAGAAACUACUCCGUUCAUAGCGUUUGGCCUGAUCGAACUCCCGACAUGCAAGGUACUCGACUUCACAUUUGAGGUUCGUAAAAAAUGGUAAUUAUUGUUACAUUUGAGCAUUAAAACUACAAUUACGAGGGAAGAUUCGAAACAAAUUUUUUUAUAAAUAGUAAUGCAACCUUUUUGGGGAUUUUCUAAUGACAGUUUUCGCAGUAGGAGGAAUUUCACCAAACUACCAUCACUUUAUGCCAAGGUAAAGUAAUGAUUAGGUGGUAAUAAAUGGUAUUUAAAUUUUAAAAUUGUUCAUUCACUCUUGCCUGUGUUCACCUAUUUAUCGAUUAACAAUCGACGCGUAUGUUCCAUCUUCUGUUGGAAUAUUUAACGUAACGUUUUUUUUAAUAUGCUUUAUUAGUCAUUAUUGGGACAAGUUUUUUCUUCCAUAUCAUUUAACUAGUGAUAGUUGGAACCGUUCUAUCCCUUAUUAAUUAUUUUAAUUGUUGGUUCACAUCGACCAACCUGUUUUUUAAGGGUAUUAGUAUCAAGUCUGUAUUGCUUUUUGGGACUUUGAACUUUGUACUUCUUCGGUAGAGUUCUGGGUUGUUUGAUUAUUGGUAGAUAGGGUCCAUAUUGAUGUAUAUGGCGUUCCUAGAAGUUCGAUGCAUCAGCUGCAAUUGGUGUCCGACGAAAUCAACUUCUCCAAGACGAGGUGGGUUUGACAGUAUCAAGAUAGGCCUCAGCUCUGCUACAACAUGAAGCCUGUUACAAUCUUUCUGAUCUGUAAGCUCAAAUCGGUAGAGCGCUGCAAAUUCUGCGAGGAAUUUGAGAGGUUGGUGGUUCGAAUCCAUCCGGAUCUGAGAGAACACUGAUUCAGUAUUAUUAAUUAGUAGGAGAGUUUCUGUGUUAAACCAUACCGAAUGAACAGUCGGACAUGGUUCUUAUGGGCUCGAACCUGGGCCAACUAGCCCAACUGUGGGGUGGUCCCCCAAUCCAACAACUCUGUAUCGAAGUUUGUUCAGACUGUUCUGGGUCUCUCUAGAAUUAGGUUCCUUUUCUUAAACCUUCGAGAAUAAUUCUUGGGUUUAUCCCUUUUUCUUUUUUUUUGUUAGUUUGGGAUUAAUUCUGCACUGUAAAUUAAUUAUAUAAACUUAUCUUUCGGAAUAUAUCAUAUGCUUCCUUCUGUCAAUCCCCAUUUUGUAAUAUUAUCUUUUUAAAAUUUUAAAUUUGAAUUAAAUUAUUUAAAAUUUAUCACUAUAUUUGAAAUUAGAAGGUGACAAAUUAUAUUUAACCGACCUUUAAUGCCGUAUAAUAUAAGCUAUAUCAAUAGUCAAAAAGUUGGAAAAUUCUUAACUUUUUAUUUAUUUAUUUAUUCCAAAUGCCGUGUUCUGUUUGAUCUUUUCCUCCGUGAAGUCACGACGAAACCGCCCAAAACGCCAAAAGUAAUUAUCGCAUUUAUUCCAUCCCAUGAGCGAUAAUAAUUCAUCCACGUUAUUCUAUCUCAGCCGUCCACUUCUCCAACCAACUCCCUCAUCCUCGCCGUCCAUCUCGUUCCCUCUCUCCAUAAAAGGGUCAAGAAGUUCCCUGCUUCCCUAAUCCAUACGAGGGUUCCAGAAGGCUUCCUGUUCCGUCCUCUUUUUCAUUUUUCCAUUUCUCGGUCUUAGAUCUGUUGUGUUCUUAUUGUUCUCUGGUUCUGGAGGGCUAAGAAUGGAUCUUUGGACUUCUGAAGCCGUGUAUUUGCUCGCUGAUUAUUGUUUCCUACGAUUUUCGGUGGCGGAUUGUGGCUAAUGAUUCCGAUUCUGUAAGGUGUGACGAAGAUGAUGUCAGAUCUAGGAUCUGUACCGUUCUGAUUCCCUUGUGGAGCAGCUACUGCGUGUCUUCGCCGGUGCAGGUUUCAGCAGUCGUAUUAAUAGGUGGUUCUUUGCAGCUGUUGAGGCGGUUCAUAAGCCUGGUGUAUGAGAAGUGUACGCACCGUUCGAUGGAAUCUGUACUUUGUAUAUAUUACCGAAAUCGCUGGAAAGGAGUGGAUGAGUGUUGCUCUUGGAUGUAAAAGGAAUCGGAGUUCAUCUUCCUAUUUGUGGAGGGUGAAUCCUGAUAUGUCUUUGUCAUCCGACCUUUGCCAUGACAGGUGCGCUUGCAUGGCAGGUCAUCGAAAAAAAAAAAUAAAGUAGUGAUGUUUUGGUUUUGAGGAGAGACCGCACGGGGUUUGCCCGGGGUUUCUUCCUCUCUGGCUUGUGUUUUCCUCCCCUUCUCUCUCUCUAUCAGUUCGUUUCUACAUCUGCAACCGCCAUCAACUGCGUCUCGGAUCUCACGCCGUUUUAGCCAAGGUAUUCCUCUUGCACAUAACUAUCAUAAAAAGGAAAAUAGACUAACAAAUCUGCAUAACCUAACGUACAAAUCUUCAUCCAAAUAGUAUUACUUUUCAUGUAUUUAAGUAGUUAUUGAAGUUGUUUACAGGGUGUCUCGUGUUUUUCAAAUGGUCAGCUGGUUUUUUUAAAUCAAUCCUUAACAUGUGGGUUUCGAUUAUUUUCGUUAAUUCAUGGCAACAAUUUUUGGUUUAGUUUGGUACAAUUGGCAAUGACUGUUUUGUUUUUACUGUUUUUAACAUUAUUUUUAUAGACUAAAAGUUGAUUUUAUGGAGGAAUUUAUUUGAGUGAUUUGAAUAUCAUCGAAACCAAUUUAUUGGAGUGAUUUGAACGGCGUAGAAACCAAUUUCUGUGAACCCUUUCAAACUUUUUCAAAUAUGUCGGAAGUGUUUUUACUAUCCAUCUUGAUCACUCUAGCAUGAUCCUCCUGGUGAGUUCGUUAAUAAGCGUAUGAAAGAGUUCUAGUAUACAACACAUGUAUUAUUCAUAUUAAUUGACAAUAGUUGUUCUUUGUUCCUACUUAUUACCGUUAAUCGCGACUAAUUACAUUGCAACAUGAUUCAAUGCUUGUUCUCUUUGUCAAUUUAAUUAUAGCCAGGCUUGCAAUUUGCCAUCUAUUCUCAUUGUCAAUUUAAUUUCAGCUUCCUUGUUUAUCUCUAUGUUUUAACUCGAUUCAUUCCAAGAUGUUCUAUGUUUAUUAAGAGACUUAUAUACUUAUAUUUCGCAUUAGUGGAACUAUGAAUGUAAUAUAUAUCUGUAUUUGCAAGCUUCCCGUAUGGGGAUGUAUUGAACUCUGGUGGAGAUCUUUAUGUUCCUCCAGUUUUUUAGUUGGUGUCCUGUAAUUUAUAUUGGUAGUUUAGCUUUACUAGUAGUUGAUAAUUUGAACUGGAGGAUUUGGUCUCUCAUAGAACGAUUUGCGAAGGAUGAUGCUGAAUAUGAAGGUACCUGGCAAUGGACUGUGCAUGAUGAGCUGAUCGUGGUUGGAAUUCUAUUCUUGAAGACUACCCAACACGGCCCCAACUUGUUUACGAUGAAUUCAAGGUUUAAUGAACUGCUCACCUUUAAUUUCUGAAUUUGCCUUGUCAGUUUUCAUAUAUAAGUUUUCAUAUGUUUAUAUAUCUUUGUAGUACUUGGUUUGGUUCUGUAAUAGUAGGAAAGUAUGGUUUAAGUUCUAAUUUUCAAUUGAAAUCAUAGAACAAUGAAGUAGCACUAUGGUUCUUUCCUAGUCCUGUUUGUUCAGUUAUCUAAUCUUUGAUCGUAGUUCAUGCUAGUUCUUUGUUAA